CCAUCAAGCUGCCGGUGGAGGAAGGACAAUUGUAUCUCGAAGAAGUGAAGAUGAAGGCAAAGAUGAAGGCCCAAGAGGGUAAGUUGAAGUACGAGGAGGUGAUGAAGAAGGCCAUGGCAGAAUCAGCUUGUGUGGGGUGUGUGCGUCAUCCAAUAUGCCAAUACUGCUAUGUCGUUGGCGACGUGUCUACAUUCGCGUGUCGUGGAUGCGGGCUCCCAGUCCCUGAGGUUCUCCCACGUUGCAACAUAUGCGGGCAUAACACUAUCCCGUUCAUGUUUUGUUGCCAUGAUUGCGUCCAUGGUUAUUCUGUGGACGCAUCCGGGGUGUGCUGCUCUUGUGGCCGUAAUCAAGUGAAUGAUGUCAACGAG
rnacentral:lncRNA from 1 species